rnacentral:rRNA from 1 species
CGUGUAGGCGGCUUUUUAAGUCAGACGUGAAAUCUCUGGGCUUAACCCAGAAAUUGCGUUUGAAACUGGAAGGCUUGAGGAUCGGAGAGGGUAGUGGAAUUCCCAGUGUAGCGGUGAAAUGCGUAGAUAUUGGGAGGAACACCAGUGGCGAAGGCGACUGCCUGGACGACACCUGACGCUGAGGCGCGAAAGCCAGGGGAGCAAACGGGAUUAGAUACCCCGGUAGUCCUGGCCGUAAACGAUGGGUACUAGGUGUGGGAGGUAUCGACCCCUUCCGUGCCGCAGUUAACACAAUAAGUACCCCGCCUGGGGAGUACGGCCGCAAGGUUGAA